AUGCCUGUUCGAGCGUCAUUAUAACCCUCAAGCUUAGCUUGGUGUUGGGGCAUGCUUCUGCAGCCCUCAAAAUCAGUGGCAGUGCCAGUCGGCUCUAAGCGUAGUAAUACUCCUCGCUAUAGAACCCGGCUGUUACGCGCCAGAACCCCUAAUUUUCUAUGGUUGACCUCGGAUCAGGUAGGGAUACCCGCUGAACUUAA
rnacentral:misc_RNA from 1 species